UCUUGGUAAAGCUGGCUCCAAAGGUUCUGCUGAAUCUGUGUUGCAUAACGUUGACCAGGUCAGUUUUAAUGUAGUGAAAAUGGAAGCUUUGAUCUGCAGAUUAACGUGCAUUUGCUUCACAGUUUGGAAAUAUCACUUCAGAAGAUGCUACAGAAUAACUUCAGCGUUAUCAGGGCGGCGCUGACUCUGCAAGCUAAAACAGGAGCAGCAAGCAGUAAAUGCAUCCACUUGGUUACUGGAGUGAGAGGCUUGGAGUCUGAAUUCAGUGGUGAUCUAGGAAGCCCUGUUUCACGCACAGGCCAAUCCCACGACCCCUGAGGAUGUCGGCACCGAUGGGAAUGCAUUGCAGCCCUCCCCAGCUGCACUCCCUGUGCACCUCAGACGAGCCAGCGCUGUAAAUCCCAUCCUGGUGGUCUCUUGUCACACCUUGCCCCUGGGAUGAGGGUCUGUGAGAGGAUGCUGGAGCCCUGAUCCUUGCAGAGCAGUAACUGCAUUGCAGGCUGUGCUGAGCCCUGGAAAUUUGGGCUGGAAGGGCUGUUUGAGACUCUGUUCAGAGACACCUGCAAGAGGCAAAUGUUGGAAUUCCCAGUGGAGAUGGUGAGGAGGCUCGCUGCAAAAUGCGUCUGUAGCAAACUUUUUUCCCAAGAUAACAAACACUAAAAUAAAAUGAAGUGAAAUAUUGGAGAGCCUGCUUUUAUACCCCUUUUAAAACUGAACACAAAAGCCAAGUGAGAUCAUCGGGUUUAUUAGGCAAGAUAUUUCCAGUAAAGAUGGGGAAGCACUCCUGCCACCAUACAAGGAACUGCUCAGCCUCCGUCUGGAAAGUCACAGCCAGUUCCCAUCAUCUGUCUUUGGGAAGGAGAAAUCCGAAGCAGGACUCAGAAGACGACUGGACUGUGAGGGACACAGAAGUGGCUGUGUGGGAUGUUCAGUGUGGCAGAGCUGAAGAGAGGGCGCUGGCUUCUGUAGACACAGCAGAAAGAAGAAGGUUACAUAAAUGACAGUAAAUCUUUGGACGACAGAGUGACUAUAAACUGGCAUGGAAAACACUGACGCUGGAAAUGAGGGUUCUGGGCCUUGAAGCAACCAGGUUCUGCAAGACCUUGCAUCAGGAGAGCAGAGCCAGGUCCUGUUGCAUAACCCACACACGAACAGGUUGGCAUGUGAUGCUGUGAAAGUGGAAUCUGGCUGCAGUGAUCAUCUCCAGUCCCAUGUGCUCCUAGAAUACCAAUAAUUUCUUCCACUGGCCCUGCAAUUCCACAGGCAGCUGUCUAGCUGUGAUCUUCCAGAGAGCCAAAGGGGAAAGCUGUGGCCCUAUGCCCUACAGUGGAGCUCUCCAAGACAUUGCGCCAGAGACUGCAGCUUACUGAGAGUGCUACGGAAUGGGAUCUAGGAGCUGCAACACCGUUUGCUUAAUGGCCAGCAGUGACAGAGUUAUAAAUCAACAAGGCACCUAUUACCUUCAAUGGAAAACGGUAAUCUGGUUUUUCUCCUAGCGGCUUCUGUUGCAAUAAUCACGUGCUUGCGGCCUCCUCCAGGGUACAGUGCAAUGCAUCUCCCUUGCAGCAGUCACAUCCCUGGCCCUGGGAGCCCUCCCAGCUCAGCAGGGCACUGAGCAUUCCCUCGACCGCUGGGAACCGCAGGGGCUCAGUGCCUGAGCUCAGCCCUCCAGCAGGAUGUGUGCAGCUUCGCUCCACUUUUCACCAACAGCGGCAGGGCAGCCUGGAAAUGGAGUUGUAGGAAGGGGAGGGAUCCGUAGGGCUGCUUUCUUCCUGCUUUUUUCCCCACUCAGAGGUAUGGAGGGCUGUUGAGCAUGGCAGAGCUCCGCAUUCAGAGCACCCUGCACAGGAGGCAGCACGUGGCCGCAAUGGCAGCACCCUGGUGUCAGGUGUCUGUCUUAGCCUCUUCCCAGCAAGGUCUCCAUCUAAAUCAACAGGAGCUCUCUGGACUCCGAACCAUGGCAUACGUGUAUUUUUAGAAGCCAAUCAAUCAGUGGUGACUGUUCAAGUUCAGACAAGUCAAACACAGCCUGCAAAGUUACACAGAAGCACUGUGUGUUGUAGAAGGGUUGGUGAGCCUGCUUAUUAUUUGGUGUGCCGUGCCAAAUCCAUGAGCUACCAAGGCUGGGUUCUUUUCAGAGAGAUAUCCAUAAGAAGUGUAAGUAUAAACAGACUGUGGAUUGUGGCACACGCUUUUUAAUUGAAGCAAUAAAUGACUGUUUGUGCUUCCACAGAAGCCCUCUUUCAAGGUGCUGUGUGUUUUCCAAACUUUAACACAGCCCUUGGUUCAGGGUUUGUCAUCUGGGCCUUUCUGUAGGUGAGGAAACUGAGGCACAGGAGAAUGUAGAUGCUGCCAAGGAGCUACAGAGACUGUGAAGUCCCAGCUUGUCUCCAGAAAAGUGCUGCGCUGGGCGAAGAAAACAAACACCUGUGCCCUGGCUUCCCUUCACAGUCUGAUCAGCGGAAACAGCAGCAGAGGGGUUAGUUAGGUCAGCACCUCUGGGCAGCAGCAGCAGGUUGACUUUUCAGUGGCUUUGGCUACAAGGCAGGAACGUCCCGAAGCCUUUCUGCGUGUUUCUUCCAAGUGCAUGAGCUGGGGUUUGGAAACGGUGAGCACAGAGCAGGUAUACAAAUAUAAAAAAUGAUCAUAAUGAAACGUAUCCCUUCAUGAACAGUGCAGAGGCUCAGUAGUUGUGAGGAAGCAGGCACAGCCUGGAGUCAAGCUGGACCUCGAAGAUCAGACACCAACCGGUCAGUGAGCAGAUUAGAAAAUGCCGAUUUCCAGAGCCUCAGUUUAUCCAGCUUGAAAGUGGAACUGAUACUUUCCUAUGUCGCUGACCACUCAAUCAAGAAACGUGGCCUUGGCCUCUUCUGUUUCUCUUCUUCUUCGUGUCCUUCCCUCCAUUGCUACAAGACAUCUGCUCCAGAACUUCUGGUUGGAGUCUUUGCACAGCUGCACAAAAUGUAGUGCAUGAUCUGAUUCUCAAAUUGGGUUUAACUCAUAUGUACAGUGCCAGCUGGAGGGGCCUGCUGAGCUUUUGCUGAUGCAUCAGAAAUAUAUUUUUAGGAAGGUUUCUCUAUAAUUAUCACAUUAUAGCUCCUUCUGGAUCACUCAGAGUAUAGUAAACAAUUGCUAUACUUGUUAGAGGUCAUGAAUACAGAAAAACAUUCCUCUGUGUGAGGUCUGCUGUUAAAUAAUAACUUGUCGUUUCAUGGCGUGGGGGGAGUGAAUGCCCUCGAAGGGACGUGCUGACAUUGUUCAAGCCAGUGAUCCAGUUCCUGUAAUUUACACCACUUUCUUAAAGCUGCUUCUCUGCACAAGAACAAUGGAUGUGCUGAGGGACAGCUGUUGCCCUGCUGCAGCUCCUGUUGCCUUGUGUGUUGAUCCUCUCUCCGGUUUCUCUGCUGUGCUGCUGCAGCAACACACGGAUGGAUCCCUGCUGGAGGCCUUGGAGGUGAUGGGCAGCUGGGUGAGGAAGGUGGUUACCGGACAGCUGUGCAGGGUGCAGCCCUAGGCAGAUGGGGCAGGUGAGUGGCAUUAGAAGGUGAUCACACAAAGAGAUGAUUAAUGAGUAAUUUCGUGAUCAGUGAGUUGAAUGAACAGCACUCACCUUUGUGGCAUCUCUGCUAUCUGGUAUAGAGGGAGCAUUCACUGCUGUCUUUUCCUCAGGGGAUGCUAAUGGUGUCCGUGUCCUCCGUCUGUCAUCUGCCUGUCUGGGACCUUCGGGGCUCUGAGAAAUCUCCUCUCUGUCUCCUUGAAAUAGUCUGACACGAUCAAGAACUACUUGCACACAUUGGGCUCACACAGUGCUCCAUGUAAAGCUUUAUUCCCUUGGGAAAUCCAGGCUUUACAGUAAUCACCUUGCUGUUCAACCAGGCGUAACAUGCAGUUGUGAUUUUCAUAGUACAGUAGAAAAGUGAGGAUCUGGCUAUGGCUGAAAUCAGUUAACAGAACAGAUAAGUUAGGAAUCCCAGAGCCCCUGGAGUCCUAUCUCAAGACCAAAGAAGAAACUAAGAUGUCUGACGGAGCUGCCGAAGUGGGGUAGAGCAAUGAGCUCCAACCAGACAGGUGACAGAUGUGUCCAUGAUGACAUCUCACAGUCCCUCCCUGUGGCAUGGGAAUCUGCCCUUUAAUACGUGGUCAAAAGAAAAUUAGGUCUUGGCAAAAACAUAGCAAAUUUAAGAGCUCAGUCUGGAAGGAGCUCAGCAGGGAGGCGUAGGAGCUGACUGCAGCAUUUCAAAGUCUUUCUAGAAGCUGUGGUUUGGAGAGGAAAAGGGGAUGAAAUCUUCCAUGUUGCAGCAUGCAAGAACUCACCAGCUCUACCUCUUCAAAUGUCGUUGUGACAUGGCUCCACCAUAUUCAUACUCAUGACUGAAGGAAUGGCAGACUCCAUACUCAGCCCCUUGCUUCUUGCUUUUCUUGGUUUGUGUUGCAUGCUCCAUGUUGUUUUAAUGUAGUUCCUAGUAUUUAAUGCAUUUUUAUUGCUUUCUCUAAUAACAUCGACUGAGUGCUAGGAGCCAAUCUAAACAAGCUGUGCCAAUAAGCCAAACAUUUCACUUCAACCAGCAAAGCGGAUGCCUCUUACCCCUACUCACGCCUGGCUGUGCAAACCAAGAGCCUCGCUGCUCAUCAGGGAGAGCAAAGCAAAAGCCUGGCAUGGGGUGGGCAGAGCUGGGCUGUGUCCCUGUCCCUGCCACAUGUGUGCCAUCAAAGUGUGUCGGCGUCGAGGUGCGGGCCAGGCAGUGUGCAAAGCUGGCUCUUCUCGAGGGAUUAAUGCAGCAUCUUGUCUCGUGUACUUUGACAAGUUGGGUCUUGGUUUUGAGAGACUGUGAGCACUUUUAAAUCCCUUUGACAUCAGUGGAAGCUGGAGUUCAUGUUCUGCAUCGCUGAAAGCCUUUCCAAGCAAUUAAAAAAAAACCCCAGACCUCCUCCCCUGGUGCUGAUCUGUGGUGUGGUGUUGACGUAAGUGUACUGGAGUUUCACUUACUGCAGCUGGGUAGUUGGCACUUUUAUAGGACUUUAAAAAAUUUUUUUCUGUCUUUUGCACACUAAUCCUGAUUUUUUUUUUUUACUCUGUUUGCUCUUCUCCUACAAGCCCAGCCUUCAUGUCUGACAUCUCAGCACUGCUUCCUGUUGUUCUCUGUGAUCUCCCUAGUUCCAUCUUCUCUUCUCUGGUUUCCUCCCUUUCAUUUUAGCUUUAUUUUCCUCAGGCUGCCUGAGCCCAUCCUCCCAGAGGGGAACCUAUCUGUCUCAUUCCCAUCUCUGUUUCCCUCCCAGCCCCACAGCUGUUCCCACUCCAGCAGACCCGACUCCUGCUCAGAGCACCAUCUAUGUCCAACCCCUUUCCUCCUUCACUGCAGGUCAACAACAGAGAAAACUGGAAAUGCCCCAGGAGGGGGAGAUUACAGCCAAGAAAGAUCGUUCCUGCAAGGUGCCAAGUGUUGUCUCACCAGCGUUCACCUGGACUGCUUUCAUCUGGCUGGAUGGUGGAACCCCCAUCCCCAGCACUGACACCAUUUGCAGUGUUUCAUGCCACGCAAUCCAUCAUUGCUCCUGAGAAAUUUUCGCCUUUCAUGCUACCCAAGCCUGAAAGCCAGAAACUCUGCUGUGAGGAUGUGUGAGGUGUGAAUGUACACUUCAUUUCCAAGUGGUUCUUUUCCCCUCAUGUGCUGCACUUUACCAGCAAAGCAGUGGGCACCAUUCUCUGUGCUUUGGUCCAUGUAAUUAUGUGUUUUCUAGCUGUGCUCGGUCAAAAGUAAUCAUGGAGUUACAACCUCAGUUGGAAGAGAAAUCAGGUUAACAAGUUGACUUGUGUGUGAUUACAGAUGAUACAUUCUGCCACUGAUUUGUUCUGCCAUCCUUUUGCCCUCCUAAGUGGAACACACUGCGGGGACGGAUGAAGCCAGUGAGCUGUUGGUGGUGGCACAGCCUGCUGAGGUGAGAUACAUGUACAGCUGAUGGAUUUGAAGGGACUUCUCCCUCCAGGGAACUGGGAUGCAUUUAGCUGCAGACUGCGUAUCCACCUUAGGCACUUUGUGACCCCUGCCUUGGGUGUGUUUUUAUAGAACUAGGGAAUUAUCAGAUCUGGAAGGAGAAUGUGUGUAGGCUGAUCUGCCAGCACUGCUGUGCACUUGUACCCAGCUGCAGACACAUCCCUCGCUCCGUCCCUUCGCCUCUCCUGUACUCCCCAACUCAGACUUCGCCUUGUUCAGCAACAAAGAAAAUGCCUUCAGAAAUAUCGUUGCCCUGAUACAGCAGGAGGCUGUGACAGAUACAGUCACUGCUGGGGAACGAGCGCACAGCAAUGCUGCGCUGUCUGUGCCAUUAUUGUUCUCUGCUGCAAACUGGAAGCGACCGAGAGCAGGGCAAGGCAGCAGCCCUUCUGUAACAGCCCUCCCGGGAUGCACACACGGCUCCAGUGGUGCAGGAUGUGCACAAUGGGCAUAGCUGGCAGCUUCUGCCAUGAGGACGAUGACAAAAUCCCUCGUCUGGAUUUCGCCUCAUACCCUCUCAGUGAUUGACAUUCAAACUGUUGGCUUUUAAAAAAUCAAGAAAAGAAGAAGGGAAUAUGUAAACUUCCAGGGCAAAUUGUGUUGAAAAAUUGAAGAGUGAUGCAGUGAUUGGCUCCAGGCUGGUCCUGCAAGGGUUGACUCUCAUGGGCAAAGUUAUGACUUCUCUGAGGAUUCUUCUCAUUAGGGUUUGUUAUGGAGAAGUCAGUGCGCAUUCCCUCUGUGAGCAGUGAGAGCUGUGGCACUGCCUGCUCAGUGCUGCACUCAGCUCUGAAACUGCCUGCAGCAUUUCCAGGCACAGAUUCACAGACUGAUGGAAGGACAGCCCACCUCUGGCCAUCUCUGCGUUUGUAAAUCCUGUCUGGUCUCAAAUGAUAUUCUGGGGAACGCAGGUCUUGACCACACACACUGUCAAUACAGGACCUUGGACUUGAACUUUGUGCCUCGGACUUCAGCUUUGUGAGCCCUUAGACAGUCCUUCUGCAGCUGCAUCAGCCCACACACAGUCACAGCUCUCAGUUGGGAGGUGGCAGGCACAAAGCUGGCACUGGCUCUGUGAUUACCUCUCUGCAAAGUCAAACAGGGCCAAAAAUAAAUGCUAGUGAAGGAAUAAACAGACGUGAAAAGAAGGCUUGGACACUUGGAGGACAAGACUGCUUUGUGUUUCCCAAAGCAAUAAGCCUCUUGACAAGGAGGUUACUCUUUCAGAAAAACACGAGUCCUGUGACAGUGCCAAGCUCUUUCUACAGAGUUUGAACGUGCACCAGUUUGGCAGCAGAAGACAGCUUCCAUCUAUCUCAGAUAGCAACGUGGCCCCAGCACUGUGGCUGUAUCAUUUGCAUGCUGGCUUGGGAAGAGGGCCGUGCUGCUGCCGCUCUGGAGGAAGCAGGUGAAGGCACUGCAUCAGCUACAUGAGGAAACAGUCUGUGGCUUCGUAUGCUGGACCGGUCUCGGAAAUCGAAGGCAUCAAAGCAGAAAGUCCUGAAGCAAACAACUCCAAAGGCAGCGACCUGCAAGGCAGCCCUCAGCAGCACAGGUUUCUUUGCUCCCAGCCCAUCCUUAGCAGACAGAAUAUGCCUUUCUUGUGCCCAUUACCUCCCUUACCUAAUCACACAACUGCUGGGACCAGGAUUGUCUUUUAGGGCUUGCUUACACAGAGCAGUUGACUAUUCUGCAAUAGCUGCUGCAGGAUGACUUCACGUGAACGCGCUCAUUCCACAGCGGCUGUUGGAGCUCCUGAUUCAUACCAUACCUUAACUGGAGUCGUGUCAGCAAGGCAGUGUGCUUUACAGAGUUAAGCAAGACCCAGGACCCAGUUUGGGGUUUCUAGUCACUUCUCCUUAACAUAGAGUUGAGCUUUAAGAAAAGCAGUUGAAAUGUUCCUGAGAAUGACAAAUAACAAAUGAGUAAUGCUUGCUGUGGAGCCACACAGCCCAAUUAAAAAUAGGUAAGUGAUGUGUAAAGGCAAGUCUGUGCAGUCUGUGUAGAGAGAAGGAAAAAACUAAAAAUAAGCAUGCAUUUCUAAUCUAUUGACGCAGUCACAUGGAGCAGAAUUCAUUGAUAAAAAUAUCAAUUAAUUGAUAGAGAAAGCCUUUUCAAACAGGUAAUGAUUAAAACAACCAGACGCUGGGAAGGGGACAGUUAGUGUUGCGGAGCCAGAUUAAUUUGAUUAUCCAUCUCCCUAGGUAAAGUUAUUAAAGGAGAAAAGCUUUUUGUUGUAGAGUUCAAUGAAAACAAAAACUUAACACAUACAAGCUCUCAGAAAUGCAAACAAGGUGUUAGAAUGCAUGAUGGAGAAUAAUUGAAUAUUACAAUUCUGUUUAACAAAUUGCCUCUCUUUGUACAAUCACUGCAUCUCUGCCCUAAGCAGGAAUGAAGCUCAGAAUAAGAUGAUGAGAACGAGCAGAGAUCUGCCAUGGCUGAGAGCAAUUCAGCAGACCAAGGAGUAAAGAAGGGAGUUAGCAAGGAGAGGGCAGUUCCCAAUGUAAUGAAAGGCAUUAAGUGUAAAACCACCAACACUUUCCCAAACAUGAAAAGAAUAAAUUGAAUACCGAAAGAAAAAAAAAA